rnacentral:rRNA from 1 species
AGCGAACGCUGGCGGCAGGCCUAAUACAUGCAAGUCGAACGGCAGCACCGUGGAUCUUGCUCCUUGUGUGGCGAGUGGCGGACGGGUGAGGCAUACAUGGGCUUCUGCCCAGUCGUGGGGGAUAACGUAGGGCUACUUACGCUACUACCUCAUGCGCCCUUCGGCGGAGAGCCGGGGACCUUCGUGCCUCGCGCGAUUGUAUAAGCCCAUGUUCGAUUGGCUUGUUGGCGGGGUAAAGUCCCACCAAGGCGACGAUCGAUCGCUCGUCUGAGAGAAUGAUAGGCGACACGGGGACUGAGACACGGCCCAGAGGCCUACGGGAGGCAGCAGUAGGGAAUAUGGGACAAUGGGCGCAAGCAUGAUACAGCGGUGCCGCGUGAGUGAAGAAGGCGCUCGGGUUGUAAAGAUCUUUUGUCCGGGAAGAAAAGCAUCGGGCUGAUACCUAGGUGUUGUGACGGUACCGGAAGAAUAAGCACCGGCUAACUUCGUG